AAUGAACGCUGGCGGCGUGCUUAACACAUGCAAGUCGAACGAGAAAGCGGGAGCUUGCUUCCGCGAGUAAAGUGGCGCACGGGUGAGUAACGCGUGGAUAAUCUACCCCUGAAUUGGGAAUAACGUGGCGAAAGUCGCGCUAAUACCGAAUAACAUCUUGAUGACCUUGGUUAUUGAGAUCAAAGACAGCCUCUGCAUAUGCUGUUGUUUGGGGAUGAGUCCGCGUGUCAUUAGCUAGUUGGUGGGGUAAGAGCCUACCAAGGCUACGAUGACUAGCUGGUCUGAGAGGAUGAUCAGCCACACUGGAACUGAGACACGGUCCAGACUCCUACGGGAGGCAGCAGUGAGGAAUUUUGCGCAAUGGGGGCAACCCUGACGCAGCAACGCCGCGUGAGUGAAGAAGGCUUUAGGGUCGUAAAACUCUGUCAAAUGGGAAGAAUGGUACAACAAUGAAUAAGUGUUGUAAGUGACGGUACCAUUAGAGGAAGCACCGGCUAACUCCGUGCCAGCCGCCGCAGUAACAC
rnacentral:rRNA from 1 species